rnacentral:rRNA from 1 species
UACGAAGGGGGCUAGCGUUGCUCGGAAUUACUGGGCGUAAAGCGCACGUAGGCGGAUUGUUAAGUCAGGGGUGAAAUCCUGGAGCUCAACUCCAGAACUGCCUUUGAUACUGGGGAUCUCGAGUCCGGAAGAGGUAAGUGGAACUCCGAGUGUAGAGGUGAAAUUCGUAGAUAUUCGGAAGAACACCAGUGGCGAAGGCGGCUUACUGGUCCGGUACUGACGCUGAGGUGCGAAAGCGUGGGGAGCAAACAGG